UACGGAGGGUGCAAGCGUUAAUCGGAAUUACUGGGCGUAAAGGGUGCGUAGGCGGUUCGUUAAGUCUGUUGUGAAAUCCCCGGGCUCAACCUGGGAAUGGCGAUGGAUACUGGGCAGCUAGAGUGUGUCAGAGGAUGGUGGAAUUCCCGGUGUAGCGGUGAAAUGCGUAGAGAUCGGGAGGAACAUCAGUGGCGAAGGCGGCCAUCUGGGACAACACUGACGCUGAAGCACGAAAGCGUGGGGAGCAAACAGG
rnacentral:rRNA from 1 species